rnacentral:rRNA from 1 species
AGCAGCCGCGGUAAUUCCAGCUCCAAUAGCGUAUAUUAAAGUUGUUGCAGUUAAAAAGCUCGUAGUUGAAUUUCGAGAUCAAUUUGUUGGUCGUGCCUCGGUACGUACUGGCAAUUUUGAUUUCUCCCUUCUGAAGAACCAUGAUGUCAUUAAUUUGGUGUCAUGGGGAAUCAGGACCGUUACUUUGAAAAAAUUAGAGUGUUUAAAGCAGGCUCGCGCUUGAAUACAUUAGCAUGGAAUAAUGAAAUAGGACGUUUGAUUCUAUUUUGUUGGUUUCUAGGAUCGACGUAAUGAUUAAUAGGGAUAGUUGGGGGCAUUAGUAUUCAAUUGUCAGAGGUGAAAUUCUUGGAUUUAUUGAAGACUAACUACUGCGAAAGCAUUUGCCAAGGAUGUUUUCAUUAAUCAAGAACGAAAGUUAGGGGAUCGAAGACGAUCAGAUACCGUCGUAGUCUUAACCAUAAACCUAUAGCCGACUAGGGAUCGGAUGAUGUUAAUUUUUAAUGACUCAUUCGCGUACCCG